GCUACCCCAGGUCAGGUGGGACUACCCGCUGAGUUUAAGCAUAUCAAU
rnacentral:rRNA from 1 species